GAAGCUUUAACAUUAUAUUUGUUGAUGAAUGUGGAAGUUCUGAGAUUUUGAGUGUUCAACUUAAUAUUUAAUAAUAGGGACAUAAUCAGCGGAGAGGAGGGCAAGCAGGGGGACUUAUUUCUUCUUUAGCUAAAUUAAAACAUUAAAUUUUAGUCUUUUUAGUUUUUUAUUAAAUAGAAUAAUUGCAUUUUUGGCCCUAUGAAAAGUUAAUAAUUUAAUCUAAGUUUUUUUUAUAAUACACAACUUUAGCCCGGGCCCAUGCAGAUUAAAUAAACAAAAAAAUAAAACCAAAUAAAAUAAAAUUCAGUCCAUUGUCCAUUUACACCCAAAAUAAACCCAAGAUCUUAGCCCAAUUACAUAAAUAAUUAAAACCCAAAUAACCUAAACCCUAGCCCAACAAGCAGCCCAAUACACCCAACAUUUUCAGCAGAGAGAAAAACAAAAAACCCUAGGUAGCCGCAAGCCUAACAGCAACCAAGUGCGCUGUCGUCGCCGCCAUUUACGCGCCACACCUCCACGUUGACUGGCCACGUACCUGCAAUUCAGCAAACAAGGAAGCAAGCAGCAAAAAGAAAGGGACUAAUAGCGAAAUGGAAGGAAAGAAAUAUUAUUAUUAUUUUUUAUAUAUCUAUUUUCCUUUUCGUUUUGGCUAUAAAAAGCCAAUUAAAAUCUAUAAUAGGGGGAAGACGCACAUAUUGUUUUAAGAAAUUACAAAAAGAAAAUGAAAAGGAAAGACUGAGUUUUUUUGUUGGAGGUGAUUUUUUAAAAGUUUUUCUUUUUUUUUCUGUUGUUCUGUUCUUUUUUUAUAUAAGUAUGAAACAAAAUAAAAAGGAGGGUGAUUUAGUUUCUUUUUCAUGUUUUCUUCUUUCUAUUUCGAUCUCUAUUUCAUGUCUUUGAAAUAAUAGUAAAAGAGGGGAGGAGUUGUUUACCUUUUGAUCGGCGGCGUCGUUGUGCUGUGUGGGAGAUGUUUGUAAACGGCGCAGAGAAAGGAAAGGAGCUAUUAAGUUUUUUCUCCUUUGCUUUCUAAUGGCCGAAUGAUUAGGGUUUUUUUAGAUUUAUGAUAAUUUUUGAAACAACACUGUUUGGACUUUAUGCCAAGGCUCAAUGGCUUAUUUUCACUUUUGGUCUUCCUGUUUUACAAUGUUUUUAAAUUACUUUUUUUAUUUCUUGUAAAUUUCGCAACGCAUUUUAUUAUUGUUUCAAUUUAGUCCAAUACUGUGCAGUGUUUUGGGAGGCUUGGGUAAAUUGCUCCUUCGUUCCUCCUCCUGUUGCGCGUGUUUUAAAUUGCUCUCUUUCUUGUUUUAUUUUUGAAUUCAUCCUUUAAAUUCUGUUUGUUUUCAACUUAAUCCUUAAUUUGUUAUUUUAAGUUUUUUUUUAUUAUAUUAUUAAUACUGUUUAUUAGUAUUAUUAUUACUAUAUUAUUAUUAGUUUUUUUAUUUAUUAUAUCAUAUAUUAUUAUACCUACAUAUAUAUAUAUGUGCAUAUGUAUGUUAAUAUAUAUAUGUUUAUUUUAAACGUUUUUAAAUACAUAUGCAUAUUAUGUAUAUAUUUUAUUAUUAUUUUAUUUUCAUAGUUUUUAUAUAUUUUAUAUACAUUUAUAUUUUAUAAUAUUUAUAUUUUCAUAUUUUAUAAUUUAUAUAUGUUUAUACAUUCUUUGUAAUAUAUAUAUGUACUUUUUAGAAUUAUCAUAAGUUUUUUGUUAUUAUUUUGUUUUGAUAUAUUUCAUGUUUUUAUAUAUGUAUACUUAUAUAUAUGCCUGUUUUAAUAUAUGCAUAUACAUGUUUUCAAAAUUUAUUUAUGUAUUAUACUUAUAUUUUGAAAAUACAUAUGUACAUAUAAUUUAAAUUAAAGUAUUUGUUACAUAUCGUAUUAACAUUUUUUUAACAUAUCUUUUAGAAAAUACAUAUUUUGGUUUUGGUAAAACAUUAAAAACAUUUUCUUUUGAUUCAAAGACUUUUAAAAUAAAAGCGAAAUUCAAAGUUCGGAAUUUUCGAGGAAAUUGAGCCCUAACGUAUUGGGUUCCGAUUUUUUUUGUUAAUCCUAAAUAACCGAGAAUAUUCUUUAUUUUACAUAAGUAUAAAAUCAUUUUCGGGAACUUAACUUAUUGCGUCCUAAUGUAUUGGGUGUAACAUAUUGCGUUCUCGAAAUGAAGAUUUUCUUAUAAAAUAAAAGCGAUAUUCAAAGUUCGGGGAUUUUGAGACAUUGUACCCUUCUUCGCAUGACUUGAACAUUUGAUUAUCCUUUUCAGAUUUCAUUAUUGGAGUUUUUUUUUUUAAAUCUUUUUAACCCUCGACACUAAGACGUUAAAUAAUUAAUUUGGUACCGAUUUUUGGACAUUACGAGGGUGCUAACCCUUCCUCGUGCGUAACUGACUUCCGAACUCGUUUUCUCAAAUUUCAUAGACCAGAAUAAUUUUUAAGGUGAGUCGAUCACACCUCAAUAAAGGAUCGGUGGCGGCUCUAAUUUUUGUUUUUUAAAGUCGAUAACUAAAGUUUUGUUUUCAAAAAAUAGUUUCAACAGCUUGACGACUCCGUUGGGGAAAAACACGAGAGUCGAGCCAAAAAUUGAUUAAUUUUUGUCUUAAUGUCGAAACUUUUUUGAGAUCCUUUUGCAUUCAUUAUUUUCUUGCUUAAUUGAUCUUUGCAUUAUACAUUGCAUGAGUUGAAUGAUUUUACCCCUCUAAGUGGGAGUGAGAAACUAGUCUUUCGUGAGGUUUUCACCUCCGUGCAGGAUAGUGGAUUGCUUUCGAGAUACAUUCGUACCUAUGUCUUCGUGAGAUUUUCAUUUCCGUGUAGCUAUAGGGAAGUGUAUCCCCCUGAACUGAACUCGAUCUGUAUGAGCCUAUAAUGGGUGAGGAUCAAGGAAUCUGCUGGUUCAGGUACCCUUACUUCAGAACCGAACCACAUAUAGAAGACCUUAGGAGCACACCCUAGGUAGAGCCACUUCAAAACCCUAGUGAUCACCCGAAUAGACGUUCUAUUUAUUCUUGCUUGCUUUUGCUUUGUACUAACCUGUUUCUUUUUUGUUAUAAUUGCAUUACAUUUUCAUCAUAAAAAAGUGGUGUUGAUUCACGUUCAGUUGCGAAAUAGAGAGCUUGUCAUAAGAAAAUGAGUUUCUUGAUAAAAUGGAAGACAAUAUGGUUGUCCGAAUAUGGUCCAAGAAAACGUGAUAAGAGAAGGAUGAUAGUUUAAUGGAGGACUACACGACUAUGGAUUCAAGAUGAAAAAGAUUAUUCGAGAGCCGCUGAACUUUCUUAAAGAGAAGCCAACGAGCAUCACGAGGAUGAGUGAGCAACGAGUUGCGGCCCGGAUCGAGCAAAAAGGAGAUAGAAGAGACAUCUUUUUGAAGAGUUCGUGAGAUUUAUCUUAACGCUCGAAGAAGAGGAUCGAAUGUCUCCGCCUAUGAGGGCAAGGCCGUAUAAAUAUCCAUUUUAUGUAAAGAGAUUUGUUUUCUAGUAAAGUUUUCUAAAUGGAAUUGAAUCAGAAUCAACGUCUCUUUAUGCAUUCAUUACAUGCAUUCGCAUUACAUGACAUUAUACGUAUUAAAGUCCACUAAAAGAGCCUAAUCGAUUAAAAUCAUUCCUCAGUUAACCUGGAAACCAACCAAUAAACUAAACACCGUUACGGUACUCGGGCGAAAUCAAGAAGUAUGGACCAAAGAUUAGAAAAGCUCGAACAAUUCCAAACAUAAAUGCAGGAUCAGCUUCAGCAGCAAAUGAAUGAGCAGCUCGAGAAGAUUCAGCAGAAUUUGAAGGAAAAAAUGAUGGAAUCUCAAGGGAAUAUGAUGGCUAAGUUGACUCAGUUGCUGACCGGAGAAAUUGAUAAAGGAAAAAACUCUGUGCUUAAUGUUGAAGAAGGAGACAGUGAGGGACCUGUCUAUCCUCCAGGCUUUACCCCUCAGCAAGUUGAGGAAUGUCCGCGUAAAUCCUCUGUCACCAUUAGGCCGCAGCAAUUUCAAGCUAGUGCUUCAAUGCCAAUGAAUUUUCAAGUUGGAUCAGGCUCUAAUCCGAGAGACAACCUUUCAAUACGGCUAUUCCUGACUUCGAUGAAACAGCGGGAAAAGAAAAAGUGAAGGAUGAGUUGCCAAAACAGCUAGAGGAAAAGUACAAAUGGCUGGAAGAGAAAUUUAAAACGAUGGAAUGUGCUGAGAGCUACUAUAGGAUUGAUGCUGAAGAAUUAAGCUUGGUUCCGGAUUUAGUACUCCCUUACAAGUUCAAAGUGCCAUAGUUUGAGAAGUAUAAUGGAACUAGUAGUCCCGAAGCCCAUAUUACUAUGUUUUGUAGGCGGAUAACUGGGUAUGUUAGUAAUGACCAGUUGUUGAUACAUUGUUUCCAGGAUAGCCUCACAGGGGCAGUGUCCAAGUGGUACAAUCAAUUAAGUCGUGCCAAGAUUAAUUCAUGGAAAGAUUUAGCACAGGCAUUCAUAAAGCAGUACAAUCAUGUAACUGACAUGGUACCUGAUAAAAUCACUCUACAAAACAUGGAAAAGAAGUCCGGUGAAAGUUUUAGGCAAUACGCACAGAGGUGGAGGGAGGUCGCCAUCCAAGUUCAGCCACCGCUCCUGGAAAGGGAAAUGACAAUGCUAUUCAUAAAUACAUUGAAAGCUCCGUUCAUCACAUAUAUGUUAGGGAGUGCCACAAAAAUAUUUUCUAACAUAAUCAUGAAUGGUGAAAUGAUUGAAAGCGCCAUAAGGAGCGGAAAGAUUGAUGCUGGAGGAAAUAAUAGAAGGCAAGCCUCAAAAGAAAAAGAAAAUGAUGUGAACAGCGUGAAUAUGUACAGUAAAUCGAUUGCUAAUCAGUAGGGUUCAUCAAGACAAGAAUCAUGUGUGAAGCAAGGUACUGAAAAACUCCAGUUCACGCUAAUUCCAAUGUCGUACAAAGAGCUGUAUCAAAGCUUAUUCGAUGUGCAUGUUGUUUCUCCUUUACAUGUGAAGCCUCCACAGCCUCCGUAUCCCAAAUGGUACAACGCAACUGCACAAUGCGAUUAUUAUGCGGGAAUUACAGGACACUCAAUAGAGAAUUGCAUUACCUUCAAAAAGUUAGUUGAAAAAUUCAUCAACAUGGGUAUUGUCAAGUUGGAUGGCUCAUUUAAUGCAGAAAAUUCGCUACCCAAUCAUGAUUGACAAUGGAGUGAAUGCAAUAUAUGAGGAGAUAUUGGGAAGUGUUCACAUCAAUGACAUAUAGGGAGACACAAAUGAAAGGGGGACCUUGUUAGAUAUCCGCCCUUAUAAAUCUGGGAGUGUUCUAAGUAAUUGAACUGCGGAAGAAAUCCCUAUAAUUUUUAGAGCUUAUUUAGAGUAAUGUUCAGAACAUUUUUGUUGUUUUUAGCCUAAAAAUGAUAGAAAUUCCUUUGUGAAAUAGGCUCAUGUCUGAACGUCGUUAUUCUAAUAAAAUACAUCUUUGCAUUCAUUUUUGAGCCAAUAUUUUUUCAUUCUUUUUGAAAUAAUUAUUUUUUCAUUCUUUUGGAUUUUCUUCCAUGUCAUUAUUUCAUUUAUAAUUAUAUUGUACAAAUAGUUAUUCAUAAAUACAUUCUUUUGUAUAUUCUUUUAUAUUGGGUCUCCAGAUAUCAAUAACAUGAGUGACGCUGCUACAGGCUCAGAAUUUUCUUUUGAGCGAAGCAUGUGUUUAGAGGGAUUUCAUGACUUUGAAGAUAACAUAGAUUGUAGCCUAUUUUCGGACUUGUUAAAGAUGGUAGAACAAGUCGAGAAACGGAUCUUACCCUACAAAGAAUCAUUGGGAUACAUGACUUCUCAUUAUAUAGGGCAUGAAGGUUAUUUGGUCGAUCUUGUCAAAAGAGUCUGACGGCCAUUGAUUCAUCUUUGUGAUCGUCAGUUACUUUACUAAAUAAAUAGAAGCUGCUUCAUAUGCCAAUGUCACAAAGUCGACAGUUAACAAAUUCGUGAAAAAUCAUAUGUCAGUAUGGGACGCCAAAAGGAUUAUAUCUGACAAUGUACUAAAUUUGAACAACAGCAUAAUAUCAAAAGUUUGCAGUUUGUUCACGAUUAAUGCCAUAUUGCCUAAAAAAAUAUGGCGCGAAAAAAAAAACUCUGCCAGGGUAAUGCCUUUCUCUUGGGCCCAUCGCGGUUUUGCCUAUUGAAGACAAAAUUCUUUCUGAGUUUUUGAAUCCAAUUCCGAUUGAAGAGGAAUGUUCAAAGUUGUCCAUCAUGGUCAAAUGAGCCAAAAGCAAAUGAUGCAAGUUCACAAAAAAGAUCCAUCCUAGAGAAUUCCUUGAGAGGAACCUGGUAUUGAAAAAGAUCCUUCCCAUACAAAAAGAACUUCAUCCCAAGCUGGGAAGGACCUUAUGUGGAAGGCCUUAUUUAGAAAAGCGUCGAUUUUGAUCAAAAAGGAUAACAAGGACAUGCAUAAUCCUAUGAGUUCAGAUUCAAUCAAAAAUAUUUCAAAAUAUAAAAAAAAACAAAAAAAAAUAGAGAGAAAAGAAGAAAGAAAAUGGAGAGGCCAAGAUGAAAACCCGCAAAGGGCGCCUUGAAACCAAAGGGGAUUUGAGUUGAAAACCCGAAAAGGGCAGCUCAAAUAUUGAUUAGAAUGGGGCAUGAGAUGAUCAGAGCAGUUCAAAUUUUGAUCAGAUUGGGGCAUAUGAUGAUCUUGAAUCAAUAAGAAAGGGUAAACAACAUCUUAGGACAUCGACAGAGUACUGUAGAUCUCCUAAACACAUGUCAAACUCAGAAAGUUUGUAUAAAGAAGUUCAAGCUGCGAUAUCUGGAGCAUCCAAUUUUUAUAUUGAAUUUGCUAUUCUUGGAAUAAUUCAUGCUUUUCCAAUAUACACAUUCCCAAUCAAUUUCUUUGUUAUCCUUAUUUACUAUUUUUUUGAUAAUCUAUUCCUUUCGAGCUAUGCUCAGAACCAAUUGUAUUCUCAUCCAUUGUUAUACCCUUUUUGUAAGUAUGUUGCAUUGGAAUAAUGAUUAAUAGACUAAUAAAACUUUCACAAGGGAAGUUUGGCAUAUUACUCUAGAAGUUUCUAAAUAAUACAGGAACCUGAAACAGAAUUAUUGUUUAGAACGCACCAUGUUUAAAGGUUGGAAAUCUGAAAAAGAAGAGUCUAAAUUAAGACUUUCUCUUUGGAUUUUGUUGUUAAAAACAUUGACUGAACAAAAUGACAAAGCUUAAAUAAACAACUAAGCAAUGAUCACCCUGACAUUGCAGUGGAGUAGAUUGAAGCACCAGUUCUUAUACCUCUGAAGAUGCAGUAGGAAGGAAUGAAGCUACUUGAAGAAGAAGAGUACCAAGGUCCAGCACGACCGAUCAAAAUUGGUUAUUUUUAAAGUCUUUACUUCAUUCCCGUUUCACGACAACAAACAAAGAGGGACAGCUGUAAUACCCAAUUUUAGCCUGGGCGCAUGCAAAUUAAAUAAAAAAAUAAAACCAAAUAAAAUAAAAUUCAGUCCAUUGUCCAUUUACACCCAAAAUAAACCCAAGAUCUUAGCCCAAUUACAUAAAUAAUUAAAACCCAAAUAACCUAAACCCUAGCCCAACAAGCAGCCCAAUACACCCAACAUUUUCAGCAGAGAAAAAAACAAAAAACCCUAGGUAGCCGCAAGCCUAACAGCAACCAAGUGUGCUGUCGUCGCCGCCAUUUACGCGCUACACCUACACGUUGACUGGCCACGUACCUGCAAUUCAGCAAAUAAGGAAGCAAACAGCAAAAAGAAAGGGACUAAUAGAAAAAUGGAAGGAAAGAAAUAUUAUUAUUAUUUAUAUAUCUAUUUUCCUUUUCGUUUUGGCUAUAAAAAGCCAAUUAAAAUCUGUAACAGGGGGAAGACCCGCAUAUUGUAUCAAGAAAUUACAAAAAGAAAAUGAAAAGGAAAGACUGAAUUUUUUUUUCAGAUCUGAUUUUUUUUAAAGUUUUUUUUUUCUGUUGUUCUGUUCUUUUUUUUAUAUAAGUAUGAAACAAAAUAAAAAGGAGGGUGAUUUAGUUUUUUUUUUUUUUGAGUUUUCUUCUUUCUGUUUCGAUCUCUAUUUCAUGUCUUUGAAAUAAUAGUAAGAGAGGGGAGGAGUUGUUUACCUUUUGAUCGGCGGCGUCGUUGUGCUGUGUGGGAGAUGUUUGUAAACGGCGCAGAGAAAGGAAAUGAGCUAUUAAGUUUUUUCUCCUUUGCUUUCUAAUGGCCGAAUGAUUAAGGUUUUUUUAGAUUUAUGAUAAUUUUUAAAACAACACCGUUUGGACUUUAUGCCAAGGCUCAAUGGCUUAUUUGCACUUUUGGUCCUCCUGUUUUACAAUGUUUUUAAAUUACUUUUUUUAUUUCUUGUAAAUUUCGCAACGCAUUUUAUUAUUGUUUCAAUUUAGUCCAAUGUUGUGCAGUGUUUUGGGAGGCUUGGGUAAAUUGCUCCUUCGGUCCUCCUCCUGUUGCG
rnacentral:lncRNA from 1 species